GUAGAGUUAUAUUUAUCAUGAAAUGAAUUAGUAUCAUAUUUCUCAUGCUCUAAUACAUUUGGGAUGUAUGUUAUUGUUUUAAAGUCAUUAGUGUGUUAUGGCUUACGAAAGAUGGCAUCCAGACUCUCGAGACUGCAGUAUUCUAAUAUUGCAGGAGACCCAUCACUCACAGGCCAUCAUAGAUGGCAAUAUAAGUAUUCUAUUCAUAAUCUUACUUUUUAUAUUUUUGUAAAGAAAAUCUUGUUUAAGAGAUACACGUUAUCUAAUUAUUCUAUCUUAUUGCAGAAGCCCAGGCACCUCCGAUUACGAUGAACCGAUGCUGACAUAUGGAGGAUGGAGGACAUCCCAGAUAGAGUUAUAGAAUAUUUAUGAUAUCUGAGGUUUUAUGGAGUCUAUCGGAUUGGACGGAUACAGAUGGACGUUGGUCUUCUUACUGUCUUAUUUGAGAGAUGGCGCCCAGAGACACACACAUUUCAUCUUUCAUUCGGUGAGAUGACCAUCACGUUAUAGGAUGUUAGUGUCCUCAUCAGACUAUCAGUUGAUGGUGAGGCAGUUAUAGGAGCUGAUCCCACUCUUAGCAUUCCAGAGUGGCAGGAUAUGUGCUAUCAAUUAUUAGGAUUUCAGCCCGAUGUGCAGUUUUUUGAUCAUUCACGAUUGAGGAUAGAGUGUUUGGAUAAUCAUUAUCGAUAUUUUCACAUUGGAGAUGAUACACCAGAGGAAAUGGUGUGACAGUAUGUCAGGGGCUAUGUACUACGAUUACUAAGAGAUGCUCUAUUGCCUGAUACUUCAUCUAACAAGAUGAAGUUGAUAUUUUUACCAUUAUUAGAGGAUUUAAAUUUCACUCAUAGGUUUAGUUGGGGUAGUACAGUACUAGCUUCCUUGUAUAGGGCUAUGUGUCGGGAUUCUAUGGUUGAUCAGUCAGAGAUCGGAGGUUAUUUUAUAUUAUUGCAGAUUUGGGCAUGGGAGAGGAUGCUGACUAUCAGUUCAUUGUGGAGACAAUUACUUGAGAUGCCACCAAAGCAGCAUGACUCCGAUGUUCCAUUCAGAUUAGAUGCACCUUGGGAAUAUAGUUUUUGUGGGAGCCAUACACAGAUCAGAUAUUGUCCAUAUUAUCACAGAGUUACACGGAUGGACAUGAUAUAUGGACUGCUAGGGUAUCGCUUAUUUAUUUUGAUGUGGUGGAAUGACACCUUUCAGAUCAUGUGUACAACAGUUUGAUCGAAUUCAGAACAUCCCAGAGCAGUUUGAUACUAGCCAAUGACUUCAUUGUAUUGAUCAACGAGGGAGAGCUCAUAUUGAUUGGCAUAUCAGACAUGCAAAGUAUAUCACCAUUUGAAAUGCACGAUGAGAUCAUAUAGUUCAUGGUGAUCAUAUAUUGGGAGGUCAUCCAUAUACCAAGGACUACAUGACUUGAUUUCUUAGCAUUAUAGUAUCGAUCAUCAGGCAGCCUCGGUAUGCAAUUUCAUAAUAUGAAGACUGAUCAUUUAUCGGAUCUUAUAUUGGAUACUCGUCGUGCUCUAUCUACGAUUGAUGAAGACGAGCAGAUCCGGAUAUUGCGGGAGAUAGAAAGAUCAUGUUUAGAGAUAUUGACGGCGAUUG